AUUGAACGCUAGCGGGAUGCUUUACACAUGCAAGUCGAACGGCAGCGCGAGAGAGCUUGCUCUCUUGGCGGCGAGUGGCGGACGGGUGAGUAAUAUAUCGGAACGUGCCCAGUAGCGGGGGAUAACUACUCGAAAGAGUGGCUAAUACCGCAUACGCCCUACGGGGGAAAGGGGGGGAUCGCAAGACCUCUCACUAUUGGAGCGGCCGAUAUCGGAUUAGCUAGUUGGUGGGGUAAAGGCUCACCAAGGCAACGAUCCGUAGCUGGUUUGAGAGGACGACCAGCCACACUGGGACUGAGACACGGCCCAGACUCCUACGGGAGGCAGCAGUGGGGAAUUUUGGACAAUGGGGGAAACCCUGAUCCAGCCAUCCCGCGUGUAUGAUGAAGGCCUUCGGGUUGUAAAGUACUUUUGGCAGAGAAGAAAAGGUAUCUCCUAAUACGAGGUACUGCUGACGGUAUC
rnacentral:rRNA from 1 species